UACGUAGGGAGCAAGCGUUGUUCGGAUUUACUGGGCGUAAAGGGCGCGUAGGCGGCCUGUCAAGUCAAUUGUGAAAUCUCCGGGCUUAACUCGGAACGGUCAAUUGAUACUGUCAGGCUAGAGUGCAGAAGGGGCAAUCGGAAUUCUUGGUGUAGCGGUGAAAUGCGUAGAUAUCAAGAGGAACACCUGAGGUGAAGACGGGUUGCUGGGACGGUACUGACGCUGAGGCGCGAAAGCGUGGGGAGCAAACAGG
rnacentral:rRNA from 1 species